rnacentral:lncRNA from 1 species
AGGCAUGGGAUCAAAGAAGAAACUUCUUUGUAGCAGCAUCCCAGUACUAGGACUUUUUGUCUCUGCAUGGAAAUCUGAAUAUAUUUAUAUGUUGGAGUGACAUCUCUACAGGAAGCCUAGAGACCUAACUGUUUGCUACAUGUCACCAAAGUUAAAGUGGCUACCUUAAUGAGCAGCCAGGAUGCCAUCAUCUCCGACCUGAAUGACAAUAACCUCCAAACCAGCCUUUGUAUACUCCUUCCUGCUGCUCUGCAGUCCACUUCCACAGACCAGCCAACUGAAUCUCCUUAUAGAUUCAUAAUGGCCAUCAGCACAAAGAUGUUUUAUCUGCAGUCAACCAGUCAUGUUUCAUGAUGGCAUCAAAAUAUUUGACAGUUUGGUCUACAUUUCAAGGCUGGUUAGAUGGGAGGUAUGUCCUGGUAUAUUAGUUAAUUUAGGUAUAUCUUACUGAUUUACAUUGCAUGAUUUAUCAGAUGCUAUUGACUCAUUCAAGUAAAUACAUUUAAAAAUUAUACCUUUUGCUCAUACUAGUAAUUGGGUCAGUCAUGCUCUUGAAGGAGGCAUACUGGGAGCCAUACAUUACCAGAGGCAGAGGAUUCAAUGGAUGUUUUCUGUUUUCUCUUCUUCGUGCUCUGUAAUUGAGACACAGAACAAAGGUAAUCUUUGCUUAGCGUAAUAAUGGAGAGUGACUAGACCAACAAAAGAUAUGUCAGAAUCAUUUGCAAGGGUAAAACUUACGAGUGUAUUUGUGAACCUGCUUGAACGCUCCAAUGCACAUGUGUCUGUACACAAUUUCUGGCCUAUUAACAUUUCCUAAUAUUUUAAGCCUCUGAAAUUAUUGUUAUAAUAUUUGGUAUCCUUGGGUAAAAAAUGACAUUUAACUAUAAAAAGAAUAUUUCAUCAAUCAUUUAAAAGUUGCCAUUAUUUUCUUUAUAAGUCUAUGGAUGAUAACAAAAAUAAAA